rnacentral:rRNA from 1 species
GUGCCAGCAGCCGCGGUAAUACGUAGGUGGCGAGCGUUGUCCGGAAUUACUGGGUGUAAAGGGCGUGUAGGCGGGAAUGUAAGUCAGAUGUGAAAUCCCACGGCUUAACUGUGGAUCUGCAUCUGAAACUGCGUUUCUUGAGUGCUGGAGAGGAAAGCGGAAUUCCUAGUGUAGCGGUGAAAUGCGUAGAUAUUAGGAGGAACACCAGUGGCGAAGGCGGCUUUCUGGACGGUAACUGACGCUGAGGCGCGAAAGCGUGGGGAGCAAACAGGAUUAGAUACCCUGGUAGUCCACGCUGUAAACUAUGGAUACUAGGUGUAGGGGGUAUCGACCCCUUCUGUGCCGCAGUUAACACAAUAAGUAUCCCACCUGGGGAGUACGGCCGCAAGGUUGAA